UGUGGGAGCUGGCUUGCCUGCGAUGGCGGUGGCUCAGUCAGCUUGCUUGUUGACUGAUACACCGCCAUCGCAGGCAAGCCAGCUCCCACA
rnacentral:antisense_RNA from 1 species